GUGGCGAACGGGUGAGUAACACGUGGGUGACCUGCCCUGCACUUCGGGAUAAGCCUGGGAAACUGGGUCUAAUACCGGAUAGGACCGCACCGUGAGGGUGUGGUGGAAAGUUUUUUCGGUGUGGGAUGGGCCCGCGGCCUAUCAGCUUGUUGGUGGGGUAAUGGCCUACCAAGGCGGCGACGGGUAGCCGGCCUGAGAGGGUGGACGGCCACAUUGGGACUGAGACACGGCCCAGACUCCUACGGGAGGCAGCAGUGGGGAAUAUUGCACAAUGGGCGGAAGCCUGAUGCAGCGACGCCGCGUGGGGGAUGACGGCCUUCGGGUUGUAAACUCCUUUCACCAUCGACGAAGGGUUUCUGACGGUAGAUGGAGAAGAAGCACCGGCUAACUACGUGCCAGCAGCCGCGGUAAUACGUAGGGUGCGAGCGUUGUCCGGAAUUACUGGGCGUAAAGAGCUCGUAGGUGGUUUGUCGCGUCGUCUGUGAAAUUCCGGGGCUUAACUCCGGGCGUGCAGGCGAUACGGGCAUAACUUGAGUACUGUAGGGGAGACUGGAAUUCCUGGUGUAGCGGUGAAAUGCGCAGAUAUCAGGAGGAACACCGGUGGCGAAGGCGGGUCUCUGGGCAGUAACUGACGCUGAGGAGCGAAAGCAUGGGGAGCGAACAGGAUUAGAUACCCUGGUAGUCCAUGCCGUAAACGGUGGGCGCUAGGUGUGGGUUUCCUUCCACGGGAUCCGUGCCGUAGCUAACGCAUUAAGCGCCCCGCCUGGGGAGUACGGCCGCAAGGCUAAAACUCAAAGGAAUUGACGGGGGCCCGCACAAGCGGCGGAGCAUGUGGAUUAAUUCGAUGCAACGCGAAGAACCUUACCUGGGCUUGACAUAUACAGGAUCGCGCCAGAGAUGGUGUUUCCCUUGUGGCUUGUAUACAGGUGGUGCAUGGUUGUCGUCAGCUCGUGUCGUGAGAUGUUGGGUUAAGUCCCGCAACGAGCGCAACCCUUGUCUUAUGUUGCCAGCACGUUGUGGUGGGGACUCGUAAGAAACUGCCGGGGUUAACUCGGAGGAAGGUGGGGAUGACGUCAAAUCAUCAUGCCCCUUAUGUCCAGGGCUUCACACAUGCUACAAUGGUCGGUACAGUGGGUUGCCAGUCCGUGAGGGCGAGCUAAUCCCGCAAAGCCGGUCUCAGUUCGGAUCGGGGUCUGCAACUCGACCCCGUGAAGUCGGAGUCGCUAGUAAUCGCAGAUCAGCAACGCUGC
rnacentral:rRNA from 1 species